ACAUCCAUCACAUAGUUUGACCCCCGUAAUAACCUUGUGAGUAAUUAUUAUUAGUGUGGCCAUUUUACACAUGAGGAAACAGAGAGUCAAAGAAAUUAAGGGGAAAACUCCAGGUCAUUCAACCAACAAAUGGUAGGCCACACUUAAUUCCAGGUUUUCUGACCCCAAAGUCUUUCCAGACACCAGUCAAGAGGAGAGAAACUGGGGGAAAGGCAGGAGGAACAAGGGAACCAAGUCCUGCAGUGAAAAGCAGUUUGGGGAAAAUGCAGAAGACAUUUGGGAAUGAAAGCGUCUGUUGGUGAAGAUCUGAAUCUUACUUUAUGGAAAGGAGGUUAAUUUUCCUCAUACUUACGACUUUGACACUUACACAUCUUUCAGCUAUUUCAGACAUCUAUUCCUGUUAAAGGAUGCACUGGCCCUAUUUUUGGAAGCCGGAUGACGCAGACGAAAGGUAAUGCAGUAGGGAACCUUUGGCCCCUCUUAAAUCACUGACUCAAAUCAUCACCAGAUUACCAGCAAUCCAAAUAAGUACAGUCUAAUGAUGCCCACAAACAUACCAGUAGGCAAUUAUACUCUUUUUUGAUGUUUCAAUAGUGUUUACGUAGUCGUAAACACUGUUUUUCAGGAAACAUAGUUUUAGAUAUUUUUACAGACAUUAUCUCCACUACUUUUUGCAAUAAUGCUGAACAGUUCAGGUAAGUUAAUUUCCCAAACAUCUAGAAAGUGCCUGUUUAAAUAUUUGAAUCCGAGUCUGUAAGCCAAAAGCUGUAAUCUUUCCACCAUAACACUGUUUAUUGGAGGGAAGAUAUCCAAUUCUGGUGUUCUUGUCCCUUUGACAUUUAGUGCCCCCUUUUCCCUCCCCUGCACUAGCCAGGAAUAGUGAUGGAAAGCAGGCAUAACCCUCCACAACUGGUU
rnacentral:lncRNA from 1 species